CAUAACUUAACUCAGCUGGUGUUUUGAGCAAUAUUGCUCUCCUUAGAGUACCAAACCCCACUUUGCCAACUUUAUCCAGAGAUCCGGAAGCACCUGGGAACUACAUAUCUUUUUCUGACUCCUCAAGUCAGAAAAACCCUGAGAUAUAAUUUACAUUCCAGAAAAUACUUGAAGAUCAGGGUCUGCUGCAGGAGAUCUCAAUUCAUGAGCACAGACUGGAAACUUGGAAAUGAGUCACCCUGACUAAAAGAAGAAAGGCAUUUUGGUGGAGGCUAGAGGAGGAGAAGAGGCUAACGCCUCAACUAGAUAAAGGAAAA